ACUGGCGGGCGUAGCGGCCCGCUGUGAUCCGCGCGGAAGUCGGCUCGGCGGAGGCCCCUGGGGGGCCGCUGCAGUGUGGGGUCUUCGCGGCCAAACGCCCCACUGGGAUCGCAGCCGCAGGCGAUCCCCGCGCGGAGGCGGGGGGGUGGCCUGCGAUGCUGCGGCGCGCACCGCCUCAGGCUGGAAACAGAGCAGGGAGAAGUGCCCGCUGCGAUCCGCGGUGGGACAACGGGGGGCUGCGCCCGCGGCUGCGGCGGCCCGCAGCAGCGCCCACGCCGAGCUUU
rnacentral:SRP_RNA from 1 species